rnacentral:ribozyme from 14 species
CAUAAGGACGCAAAAAGAUAGAAAGAAAUAAAGAAAGAAACAAAGAAAGAAAUAAAGAAAGAAAU